rnacentral:rRNA from 1 species
GGUCACCUACGGGACGCAGCAGUGGGGAAUAUUGCACAAUGGGCGAAAGCCUGAUGCAGCAACGCCGCGUGAAGGAAGAAGGGUUUCGGCUCGUAAACUUCUAUCAACAGGGACGAAAGAAAUGACGGUACCUGAAUAAGAAGCCCCGGCUAACUACGUGCCAGCAGCCGCGGUAAUACGUAGGGGGCAAGCGUUAUCCGGAAUUACUGGGUGUAAAGGGUGAGUAGGGGGCGUGGUAAGCCAGAUGUGAAAGCCUUGGGCUUAACCCAAGGAUUGCAUUUGGAACUAUCAAGCUAG